AUAAGAGUCGAAUUUAGGCAAGUCUGUUACGGGUCUGACAUAUUCCCGACUUUUUACAGCUGUUGUUUCCAACUGUUCAAAGUUUAAACAGUUGAAUUUGUUUAAGCUAAAACGAAAUGUAUAACGCGGCCCUUCGAUUGUGACUAACGAGCCAGAAAAUUGUAAAAUGUAACCACAUUUGAUAUAUCGUAUAUAAGCAUUAUAUACAUGUAAUAUAUACAUAUUUUAACUAAUAACCAUUAGUGAGUCAGAGCUCGAAAUAUGCGAGGGCUGCAACAACGACUUCCCAUUAUCAUUCCCAUUGAAAUGUUAUAAAAACCAUUUCGUUAAUGACGUUAUUUGCGAUAACUAAAAGAAAAGAGAACAAACUAUUUGCUGAUAAGAAAAGUUGUGGCAGCAGCAGCAGCAGCACCAGAAGCAGUAGAUGGAAGAAGAAACCAAUCCAAUGCGAAACAAAACGAUCAAAGCGAACAAGUGGAAAGCGAACGACACGUCGAAAUUCCACGACUUGUGUGGGGGUGGUGGGUGAGUGUGGAAGCAAGCUCUAUACACACACACACACACACACACGAUAGCAAACAAGCUCAUAGAACGAGAUGAUAAAACAGGGCAGCAAAUAAAGCACAAUGCGAUUGCACGGGCAAA